CACACCCCACCGCCUCCGGGCAGCGGUCUUCCCGCCAUGGCGCUCGCAGCCGCCUCUCGGGGCGCCAGCCAGCGCCUGGGCCGGAGGCGCGCGACGAUUGGACAGCGGAGUCACGUGAGCGCCGCACCACACAUGGGUUUGAUUCCUGGUCCGGGAAGAUCCCACAUGCUGCGGAGCAGCUAAGCCUGUGUGACGUAGUUAUUGAGCCUGAGCCCUAGGGCCUGGGAGCCGCAACUACUGAAGCCCAGGGCCCCAGAGCCCGUGCUCCACAAGAGAAACCACUGCGAUGAGACGCCCGCGCACCGCCUGGAGAGCACUAGCCCCUGCCUGCCGCAGUCAGGGGAAAGGCCGAGCAGCAGCGGAGACCCAGCAGAGUCAAAAACAAAUAAAUAACAGUGUUUAACAAACAAACAGAAAGCCAGGAGUCCGAGCAGAUGGCAGACAAGGGUCGUAGAGAAGCAUCUUACUGGGGUCUGCGUUUGUUUGUUUAUUUAUUAUCGAACAAAGAAAAAGCGGGCUGAGGAGCUGAAGUAAGAAGACCGGUGAAAGUGGUUGCAAAGAGGUCCUGGUUUAGGCCUGAUAGCAGGAGGAAGUGUGUUAAAUUUCUUCUUGCUGUCAGCCAUUCCCAGAGGACAAAGUAUGGACCAUAGUGUCUCACGAUUUCCAGAUUAAGACGACAGUGGUGGGCUGCAACCCAAGAAAAUACUCAGCUCGUUUCCAGCACCUCCAAAUGAGCAGUAUGCCGCCGUUUGCAAGAUGUCCAGGCUGCUGAGCAUCCCAGGUGUGGACGUCCUUGCGCCCUGACUUUCUAGAUGCUGGUCUCUUCAAAGGGUUUUCCAUCACAAGCUCCGUGGCAGCACGUCAUAGCCCCGGGAGCGCUCUGAUAUCCCGAAGUA